rnacentral:rRNA from 1 species
CAUGAGUGGCGACGGGUGAGUAACGCGUGGGCAACCUGGCCUGUACAGGGGGAUAACACUUAGAAAUAGGUGCUAAUACCGCAUAACGGGGGAAGCCGCAUGGCUUUUCCCUGAAAACUCCGGUGGUACAGGAUGGGCCCGCGUCUGAUUAGCCAGUUGGCAGGGUAACGGCCUACCAAAGCGACGAUCAGUAGCCGGCCUGAGAGGGCGGACGGCCACACUGGGACUGAGACACGGCCCAGACUCCUACGGAAGGCAGCAG